rnacentral:tRNA from 2 species
AUCAGAUUAGCUCAGCUGGUUAGAGCACUCGACCGAUAAUCGAGAGGUCACAAGUUCGAACCUUGUAUCUGAUACCA